rnacentral:rRNA from 1 species
AGAGCGAACGCUGGCGGCAUGCUUAACACAUGCAAGUCGCACGGUUUGGGGGCAACUCCAGGCAGUGGCGGACGGGUGAGUAACGCGUAGGCAUCUAUCCAAGGGUGGGGGACAACCACGGGAAACUGUGGCUAAUACCGCAUGACGACUUUGGCCGAGAGGUUGAGGUCCAAAGGCCGUGAGGUCGCCUAUGGAGGAGCCUGCGUCCGAUUAGCUUGUUGGUGGGUAAAGGCCUACCAAGGCGACGAUCGGUAGCUGGUCUGAGAGGAUGAUCAGCCACAUUGGGACUGAGACACGGCCCAAACUCCUACGGGAGGCAGCAGUGGGGAAUAUUGGACAAUGGGCGCAAGCCUGAUCCAGCAAUGCCGCGUGUGUGAAGAAGGUCUUCGGAUUGUAAAGCACUUUCGACGGGGACGAUGAUGACGGUACCCGUAGAAGAAGCCCCGGCUAACUUCGCGCCAGCAGCCGC